GGAGAUCCUUCAAUGCCUUGAUGGCAUUAUAGAUAUGGAGAAAAUGCAGAGGAAGGAGUUACACAUUGGAGGAAACAGUUGAAGCUUGCUUAGAAAGUUCCUGUAGGGCUCAGUUAUUGUUUUGUAGGAUAUAUAUAAUAGAUAUAUAUAUAUAUAUUUAUAUAUGUUUUUAGUUUUGCAUGUGGGUGGGGGAGGGAGAGAUUAUCUUUGAUGUAGUGUUUUCACUCUGUUGAUACACGUAGUGUGAGCUAUUCCUUUUGUGUUUCUCGCCUUUACCUUCAGGAAGGC
rnacentral:lncRNA from 1 species